UACGUAGGGUGCGAGCGUUGUCCGGAAUUAUUGGGCGUAAAGAGCUCGUAGGCGGUGUGUCACGUCGGCCGUGAAAACCUGCAGCUUAACUGUGGGCGUGCGGUCGAUACGGGCAUCACUGGAGUUCGGCAGGGGAGACUGGAAUUCCUGGUGUAGCGGUGGAAUGCGCAGAUAUCAGGGGGAACACCAAUAGCGAAGGCAGCUCGCUGGGACGUUACUGACACUGAGGCGCGAAAGCGUGGGGAGCGAACAGG
rnacentral:rRNA from 1 species